GCCACUACCCCCCUCUCCCCCUCGCUCUCCUCCUCGAUCUGGAGAGGCACCCAACCCGGUCGUCGCCGUCGCCGCAUCGAUCCCGCGGCCACCGACCGCCUCUCAUCUCACCGGUGUGUCCAGGAGCUCCGUCGCGCCGCGCUCGUCCUCGUCAACUACUCCAUUCGCACCUGGAGGCCCCAAGAAGAUGCCACGAUCAACUUCCUCACCGUCACAGCCGCCGCACCUCGCCGUCGAUCCGCUACUCCGGGCCAUCCCCAACCCCUCUCGAGUUCGCCUGCGCCCUUCCCGGUGAGCACCGCGUCGAUUUCCGCCUGAUCCCUUCGAGUCCAUCACAUUAGAUGCCCCCUGAACGUAGCCGCCGUGGCUGCGCUCAAGCCCCGGCCACCCCGUGCGCGCCCUGGACUCCCCUGCCGGCACCCGUCCGCGCGCCCGGCUCGCCCGCCUGCUGUCGCAACUGCUGCUACCCUGCGCUGCCGCGGCCGCACGCUGCUUGCGGCACUGCCGCUGCUGCUGUUGCUGGCUCGCUACGCCAGCCCACGUGCGCGCGCGUCGAACCCCCGCUCGCCUUCUGUUGAAGCUGCCUUGGCGUGCCUGCUGCUGUUGAUUACUGCACUGCUGCUCUUGCUUUCUACUGCUGCUCUUCCAUUGUUGCUGCUAGCUACGCUUGCGCCGCUGCUCCUAUACUGCGGCUACACCGUUGCUUGCUACUACUGCUAAUGGCCGUGAAUUUGCGCCUAUGCGAGUUGCCAUGGCAACACAGCCGUGGCUCGAUGUGUGGCCGGCCAUGCACUAAUUUGUAGUACUACUAGGAAAAUGGCCCGUGCGUUGCAACGGGAAUACAAUCGUCCCUUGCUUGAUACCUUUUUUUUCUUUACCAGGGAUCCAUCCUAGCCCCACAAUGAAGCCUGACUGUUCCCGAAAAAAAAAGCCUGACUGUCACCACGAUGAUAGGGCAUGACAGUCUGUCUCGAGAAGGUCGUCGGAAUCGGAUAGACCUAAUGCGACCAUGGCCUCCUACUACACAUCUGCCCAACAUCCUUGCCAAGGCCCAUAUGCAUGAGCAUUUGAUCUAGGGCAUCCUCCCUUGUUGUGUUAGUCGAGGCCGGCGGCCGGCCAAUGGCACCGGGCAUCCUCCCUUGUUGUGUUAGUCGAGGCCGGCGGCCGGCCAAUGGCACCGUCAUUGCGUUUGCGUUGCUAUAGAAAAAAAAUGUGUCUAAUUUUUUAUCUUGCGGACUAUAUCUAAAGGGGAGAUUCAAAAGAGAACGAUGUGGCUCACGUACCCAGGUCAUUGUAUCUGAAGUUUCUAUUUAUUCAGGAUGGCGCAGGAACACAUUCAAUAACGAAAGUAUAAUCUAAUUAGUAGCAAGGCACUCGGUAUCAUCAGUUUGUGUUUUUCUCCAAGUAGCAUAGAAACACAUCCCAUAACUAUAAUAUAAUACAUGACGGAGGGAGUAUGUUGUAAUCAAUAGCAAGGCAAUUAGUUUGGUUACUAUCAAUUCUCUAUGUUGUUCUUACCUUAUACAGCAUGACCUUUUUUCAGAAAAUGAUACUUGGGAAAUCUCAUAAAGCUUCUAGAUUGCAGCCAUUGAACCAAUCAACCGAAGGGCUUAUGUAAGUUAUUACUGUAAAAUAAGUCUCAGUCCUGAGAAGAAUUCACUUUGAACACAUUUCUCUGAGACGGAUAGAACAAUCCUUGACAACCUAUGCGAGUAAGGAAAAAAUACUGUACUGAAAAGACCACUCAUGCUCCUUCCUCUCACAUUAACUUCAGGCCUCUAACAAUCACCGAUCUUUGACUAAUCAUUCUGAAGUAAUACAGGUUUAACUUAAAACAUGAAGAGCAAUGGUGUUGUCGCUGCUGAACAUGACAUCUCCCGCUGUUUUGUGUUUUUCCAGUCUACUUGUGCC
rnacentral:lncRNA from 1 species